rnacentral:rRNA from 1 species
CCCGGUAGUAUGCCCUCCGUAUACGAUGAGUGCUAAGUGCUUGGGGAGGCAUUCCGCGCCUUCAGUGGCGCAGCUAACGCAUAAGCACUCCGCCUGGGGAGUACGGUCGCAAGACUGAAACUCAAAGGAAUUGACGGGGGCCCGCACAAGCGGUGGAGCAUGUGGUUUAAUUUGGAGCAACGCGAAGAACCUUACCAGGCCUUGACAUUCCGAGGAACUUUCCGGAGACAUAUUGUCCCCUUCGGGACCAUCGGUCCCAGGUGGUGCAUGGUUGUCUCAGCUUGUGUUGGGAGAUGGGGGUUAAGUCCCAAAACGAGCAACCCCCUUCCUCAUAGUUCCCAUCAUUCAGGUGGGCACUCUAAGGAUACUGCCAGUGACAAACCGGAGGAAGGUGGGGAUGACGUCAAGUCAUCAUGCCCCUAAUGACCUGGGCUACACACGUGCUACAAUGGUCGGUACAAAGGGUUGCCACCCAGCGAGGGGGAGCUAAUCUCAUAAAACCGAUCUUAGUUCGGAUUGUAGUCUGCAACUCGCCUACAUGAAGCCGGAAUCGCUAGUAAUCGCGGAUCAGCAUGCCGCGGUGAAUACGUUCCCGGGUCCUUGUACACACCGCCCGUCACACCAUGAGAGUUAGUAACUCCAGAAGU